UUUUUUUCUAUUUCUUUUAAUUGAAUUGUAAUUCCUUUAAUUAAAAAAAACAAAAAAUAUAUAUUACCCCACUUAUCUCUCUCUCACACACACGCAUACACACACAAAGAACUCAACUUUUCAGAUCAAACAUUCACCCAAAAAAAAUCAUCGGUGUUCUUCAAUGUGUUCAUCAACAAACUUUUCACAUCACACGUAGCUCAAAUCUCAAGUCGAUGCACCCCUCCUUCUCUCACAAUCACAGGUAGUCUCCUUCAUAUUCUAGCUUCAAUCGACAACAACCAUGACCCUCCCUUCCUUCUUUUCUGUUCCGAUUCGAUUCUCACCAAACCUUCUUCGAUUCAGAUCACAAGAACUUGGGGAUAGUGAGUCUGGUAGUGUUGAUCGGAUUUCUAUGGUAUAUCAAGAAGAGGUUAAGGCCUGUAUUUGUUUUUUUUCUUUUUUAUUAAACUCGAUCACAACCUCUUCUUCUUUCUCUCUUCUGAAUCUAUCUCGUUUUUUUUUCUUUUUUAUUAAACUCGAUCACAACCCCUUCUUCUUUCUCUCUUCUGAAUCUAUCUCGUUUUCUGUCUUUUCUUUUCUUUUUAUCUUUUUUGAUGGCAUAUGUGUGUUGGCUUGCAGGUAUGUUGGGUUAUGGUAGUCCGGUGGUGUGUGAUGUGGGUGGCGUUAGAGGUUAUGUUCAGGCCGAUGAACAGAGGAGCAGAAUGUGAGGAUGGCUGAUUAGAAGGGGUGAUGACAGGAUGGCUGUAAUGGAGUUCAAAGUUGGUGUAUAGCGGUGAUAGUACCGAUUACGAUCCAAAAGAAGAUCACAUCAAAUCUGGAACUUGAAAGAUUAAUCGUUAAUCAAGAUGAAGAAUGAAUGAGACAUACAAACAGGAUAGAAAAAAGGGAAAAUUGAGUAAUUUGAACCUUGACUUCUAGUGUUCUUCAAAAAUAGAGAACAACUUUGACCCCGACUUCAUGGGCUUCUUCCUUGAUUUCUGAUUUGCAGGUAACGGGGGAUGGCAAUGGUAGUGACCGUCAAGGGAGCGAGGAAGAUGAUAAAGAUUUGGGUGGAUAAGGGCGUCGACCCAUUUUUUCUGUGGGUUACACAUAUGGAGAGAGAGAGAGAGAGAGAGAGAGAGAGAGAGAGAGAGAGAGAGAGAGAGAGAGAGAGANNNNNNNNNNNNNNNNNNNNNNAGAAGUGUGAAGAGAGAGAGAGAGAGAGAGAGAGAGAGAGAGACCUUUUUCUUAAUUUUAAUUAAUGAAAAACAUUUGAAUAAAUAUAAAAAAUUAAAAAAAAACAAAUAUAAGGGUAUAAUAAUCUUUUUAUGUUGAUAAGGACGAAAAACAAUAGAUAGAUCCAAUUUUGGACCAGUGGUGCACCAACAUUUUGUUUUGGACCAAAGCACAUAAAU
rnacentral:lncRNA from 1 species